CCCCUCUCGGCGUCGUACCUGGAGAGCUUCCAGUCCUCUACCAGUCUCGACUACGAGAGGGAGGGUCAAGCAGAGGCCUGCCCGUUCCCUUCCUAGCUUGGCCAGUGGCUAGCGAGCGGAAGACAAUCUGCUGCAAGU